UACGGGGGGGGCAAGCGUUGUUCGGAAUUACUGGGCGUAAAGGGCUCGUAGGUGGCCAACUAAGUCGGACGUGAAAUCCCUCGGCUUAACCGGGGAACUGCGUCCGAUACUGGGUUGCUUGAAUUCGGGAGAGGAUAGCGGAAUUCCCAGUGUAGAGGUGAAAUUCGUAGAUAUUAGGAAGAACACCGGUGGCGAAGGCGGCCCACCGGCUCGAUACCGACGCUGAGGUGCGAAAGCGUGGGGAGCAAACAGG
rnacentral:rRNA from 1 species